UACGGAGGGGGCUAGCGUUGUUCGGAAUUACUGGGCGUAAAGCGCACGUAGGCGGCUUUGUAAGUUAGAGGUGAAAGCCCAGGGCUUAACCCUGGAAUUGCCUUUAAGACUGCAUCGCUAGAAUCGUGGAGAGGUGAGUGGAAUUCCGAGUGUAGAGGUGAAAUUCGUAGAUAUUCGGAAGAACACCAGUGGCGAAGGCGACUCACUGGACACGUAUUGACGCGUGAGG
rnacentral:rRNA from 1 species